CAACGUUAAUGUGCUCUUUCGAAUGGCAAUAAUUUUUUUUUGAAAGUGGUCUCUUUUGGUACAUUUUCAGAAAAGUCACUUUUUUGCUACCCUUGGUGAACUUUGGCUACUCCCAUACCUUGCCGGUUGAUGUAUUUCAACACAACAUGCCUUGUAACAGUUAGCCUGAAGUCUAAGCUUUCCAAUGAUACCAAAUAUACCAUGUAUGAUUCUCAGCAAGAACUAUUUAUGAUAAAGAUUUUGCAUCGAGGUCGGGCUACUAGCAAAUUUAGGGCCAUGGGAAACUUUAAAC